rnacentral:rRNA from 1 species
AUUGAACGCUGGCGGCAUGCCUAACACAUGCAAGUCGAACGGUAACACGAAGCGCCUUGCUGCUUCGCUUACGAGUCGCGGACGUGUGAGUCAUGUCUGUGACGCUCCUAUAUGGAUGGGGUUAACUACUGAAAACGGUACCUAAUCCCGCAUAAUUUCUCAAGCCCAUAGAUCGGUACCUUCAGGCCUCUUUCCAGUGGCUUUUCGCAGAUUGGAUUAGCUUGUUGGUGGGGUAACGGCUCACCAAGGCGACGAUCCCUAGCUGGUCUGAGAGGAUGACCAGCCACACUGGAACUGAGACACGGUCCAGACUCCUACGGGAGGCAGCAGUGGGGAAUAUUGCACAAUGGGCGCAAGCCUGAUGCAGCCAUGCCGCGUGUAUGAAGAAGGCCUUCGGGUUGUAAAGUACUUUCAGCGGGGAGGAAGGGAGUAAAGUUAAUACCUUUGCUCAUUGACGUUACCCGCAGAAGAAGCACCGGCUAACUCCGUG